GGGGGAGGCNUCAAAUUAAGNAAGGACGGGAAGGACCUUUUCCAGUGUAUGGUGANGCGUAGAGAGCGCAGUUCUGUUAUAANUNUCAGAGCCUGGAUGGACGUGUCGGGGAGCGACCCUGCCGUUUCGACGGCGAGCGCCCCCGGAGGCCUUCAAACACUGCAUCUUUGCGUCGGAGUUUAAGUAAAUUAAACAAAACUUUCAACAACGGAUCUCUUGGUUCUGGCAUCGAUGAAGAACGCAGCGAAAUGCGAUAAGUAAUGUGAAUUGCAGAAUUCAGUGAAUCAUCGAAUCUUUGAACGCACAUUGCGCCCCUUGGUAUUCCGAGGGGCAUGCCUGUUCGAGCGUCAUUUCACCACUCAAGCCUCGCUUGGUAUUGGGCGCCGCGGUGUUCCGCGCGCCUCAAAGUCUCCGGCUGAGCUGUCCGUCUCUAAGCGUUGUGAUUUCAUUAAUCGCUUCGGAGCGCGGGCGGUCGCGGCCGUUAAAUCUUUUAUAAGGUUGACCUCGGAUCAGGUAGGGAUACCCGCUGAACUUAAGCAUAUCA
rnacentral:rRNA from 1 species